rnacentral:rRNA from 1 species
AGUGAACGCUGGCGGUAGGCCUAACACAUGCAAGUCGAACGGCAGCACAGUAAGAGCUUGCUCUUACGGGUGGCGAGUGGCGGACGGGUGAGGAAUACAUCGGAAUCUACUUUUUCGUGGGGGAUAACGUAGGGAAACUUACGCUAAUACCGCAUACGACCUACGGGUGAAAGCAGGGGAUCUUCGGACCUUGCGCGAUUGAAUGAGCCGAUGUCGGAUUAGCUAGUUGGCGGGGUAAAGGCCCACCAAGGCGACGAUCCGUAGCUGGUCUGAGAGGAUGAUCAGCCACACUGGAACUUAGACACGGUCCCGACUCCUACGGGAGGCCGCAGUGGGGAAUAUUGGACAAUGGGCGCAAGCCUGCUCCAGCCAUACCGCGUGGGUGAAGAAGGCCUUCGGGUUGUAAAGCCCUUUUGUUGGGAAAGAAAAGCAGCAGGUUAAUACCCCGCUGUUCUGACGGUACCCAAAGAAUAAGCACCGGCUAACUUCGUG